rnacentral:pre_miRNA from 1 species
UUUGUACUCCCUCCGUCCGGAAAUACUUGUCCUAGAGAAGAAUGUAUCUAGACUUAUUUUAGUUAUAGAUACAUUCAUUAUAUUCAUUUUUAGGACAAGUAUUUCCGGACGGAGGGAGUACUAA